CAUCACAGAAAGUCGCCUUCAAAAAACUUGCAUUAUAUGUCAAAGGUGCAAUACCUCUACAUUUAGUCUGUUGCCUUCUGUGUGAUCUUACUGUAAAAUUAUAUGAUCAUAUGGUAAUUGUCUGACAAUAAAAAAUCAGUUCUUACCUCCUCAAUAUAACUUUAGCCCUGUGAAUAUUAUCUAAAUAUUUAUACUGCCUAGGAUGGUUUCGGCUCUUUUAGCGUGUGAAAAUAUAUAAUCCCGAUUUUCCUGUCAAUAUUAAUAUAGCUCAUAACUGAUAUCUUUAUUUCAAGUUAAUCUGCAAUGAAAAUUUGCUUAUGAAAUACUAGAACACGACUUCACAAAGCCAAAUUGAACGAACCCGUAUUACAUUGCCUGCCCAGCUCUAAUGCAGGAACAAUAUUAUUUUCAACAAAACCAAAUAUAUUCUGAAAAUAAUAACUGACAACUCUCACAUUAACUCGCAUACCUAAAAAAACCCUCCAUAAUAGCAAAUAAUUUCUAAGACUUCCAUGAACAAAGACCAAGGCUUGGCAGCGUGUUCCAAAGUCACUCCAGAUCUCUGUGUGGUUUAAAAAAAAAAGACUGAUUUGAUAUUCAAGUGAACUAACACAAACACACACACACGCACACACACACACCAGAGGGCUGGAAUCCCCCCUCAGACCACCUGCGCUCUACAGUUAACUGAAUCCAUGUGCUCGGUGCAUGAGCUGGUGUGGUGCGGUUUGCUCCCUUUGUGCCAUUGGUCCUUUCCUCGUGCCAUGACUUUCAAGCUAACCCCAAGGCAGGCCAAGCAUGGAGUCUGGGCCUGUGUUGCAUGUCAGUAAUGCUGAAAGUUUAAUGUAACUCGAACCCUUUAAAUGUGUAUGCUGAAAGACGCUUCACCAAUAAACAUUUGCAUCAGAGAUAGUAAUGAUAACUUAAAGAUCAAAGAUUUAUUAAUUCAUGACUUCCCCCACGCUAAGACUAAAUUCACUGUUUGAUGAUGUAAUUGGCAUUCAUGACUUCAUUAUAAGACCUCGGUUAACCGUCUUUAUAGAGUAAUUUUGUUUGAACUCUCUCUCCCUGCCUUUCUCUCAUCCGUUGCCUGAGGCAGUUUUCAGCUCUGUCAUCAGGUUGGUCAAAAAAGAAUCAGCUCUCUUUGGUCUUUUGGCGCCAUCUGAAAAAUAGACAACAUUAUACAAUGCUUAAGUUCCCAAUAGCAGCCUGUGAUAUAUAAACAGAGUGAACAACUCAGGCUUUGCUCACUCAACAUCCUCUCACGUUCAGUAAACAAUUGUCUGGUUCUGAGUAUAUUUGCUUCACAGCCUAUGGGAGUCUGCUUCUCCGUCAGGCAGUUUUACAUGAAAGAGUUCAUAAGUUGCACCGCCCCUUGUGUAUCGCUCAAGCACGCUUAUGUAGGUUCUUUAAAAUUCUGCUUCCAGUCAUACCUCCGUCCAUCCUUUCCUCUCAGCUGGAUGAGCUCCAUGAUGGGCCUCUUGGCUUCCCAGAAAAUGGUGACAGUAUAAUUAUGACAGUAUAAUUUAGGUUUUCCGGGGUUGUCCAGGAUGUCUUCAUAUGGCGGCUUCUGAAGUGAGGACUAGGGUAAAAAGUUCAAUAUCUCUCUAACAGUUGGUAGAAGCCCUUACUCACAAGACAUUUAUCCUUAUGGCCAAAAGCUGCACGUGUGGUUGGUUGUUGGAAUAUUGUCUGUUUUUGAAAGAAAUUAUAUUCGAUUACCAUAUUUACUUACUCAGAUGAUUUCUGAUUGACUAAAUCAUAAACAGUUAUUUAUUUAAUUGAAAACCAUAUAGCAUUUCCUGCACAGAUCUAUUUGGACAUGAACAGUCUCUAUAUCAUGAUUCAUUUUGUGUUGGGUUCAUUCCUGCAUUGUUUAUUCGGCCUAUUCUUUGUGUUGAGUGUUUAACGUUUUGUUCUCUUUGCAAUUUUGUUAAUAUUCUUAGACUAAUGGUUUUUCCCCUUUUGGUUUGUGGAUCGUUUUAUUCAGUGCAGCUCUCUGUGUUCUUUUUGUUUAUUAGUCUCUUUCCUUCAUUUACCCUGUUUAAUAUUCUUUCUUGGAUUUUGGGCAUUCUGAUUCGACUCACCUGGUUUCCAUAGCACUUGAAUGUCGAACUGAACUCAAUCCGUAAGUUUUUCAUAUCUAUCUUUUUUGGUUUGUUUUUUUUAAGCCCAAAUAAAUUAUUUAUUUUAAUCUACUCAUAGCUGUGUUUUUACCACCACCUGUAAGUGUUAUUUAUUCAACAACGGUUGGAAAUGUUUUAUUUACAAUGUCCUUUAUUGUGGCGUUGAAAAUUUUAGCUAACCCUAUUUUACACGGCACAAUUUUUAGUUUAGUUAAUUAUUAAGAAUUUUUCUAUCAAUUAUUUUCACUGACAUUAUUUGACUGCUGAUGCAUGUCUAUAGCUUUUAAAAUGUCCUUUUUAACUGUUAAUAUGAAUAUUAUUUAGCACUGAAGGUAGCAUAGCUGUUAGCAUCGAGCCAUUGGCAUUGAGUCGUUAGCCUUUGGCUGUUGGCCAGAUUGAUUCCAGAUGUUCUGCAUUGUUCAGGUUGAAAUAACCUUUUUGACAAAGGGUAUUUAAGCAUGGUGAAGCACAGAGGGGAAUUCUACCAAACAGCUGCCAUGACUCAUCGUGAGCAUGGUGGACAUUGGAGAUGGAAACAGAUUCAUCAAUAUAUACGUUGUGUAUGAAAUUAGAAUGUUGCAAUAAAAUAAUUGUGUUGAUAUACUUGUGUUGUAUAUGUGUUUUUAUUGAUUUACAUACAUUAAGUGGUCUGGGACAAAAAUGGCAUUUACAUCUGGCCCAGAUGCCUCAAUGUAUGACGGGCCACCAGUGGCCGGGGUCUGAUUUGCCAGUGGUGAAACGGUAUAUGGGCCAGCUAUGGUUCAUAUACUAUAGCUAGCAUAUGGUAUAUGGACCAUAUACCACUGGGCCAGGUGUGAACUGGUCCAGCACUGGGCCAUGGGGGGGCCGUCAUUAAUUGCGCCAUGUGGGUCAGAUGUAAGGGCCAGCUGUGGGCCACAUCUGGCCCAGACCAAUUUUGCUAUGUGGGCGAAUGUUGUCUGAAAGUUGUCUGAACAUCCGUGUGCUAGUUUUUAUAUGCGUUUACUAGCUUCAAUACCCCACUUAGGCAUUAGGGGGCUCCACGCAUGGCCAAACAUUAUCCUCUCCAUUCAAAUAAUGGUUACAAGUCUGAUUUUCUCAUUCCCUUUCCUGCAUAAUCUGCAUUGCAUUUAUUAUAAAAUAAUGUAUCUCAAAGGAGAGUAAUACUUAAAUAAAAGUCUAAGACGUACUUUCAUUUGAAAAAUAUGUAUAUUCUACCGAGUGACGUCACUUCCCAACCCGGAUUGUAUUCGGAUUUCUGCAGUCAUGAAACGACGCUUCUGUAUUUCACAUGAAACCGAUGGGAUCUGUUCGGUAAGUUAUUGGUUUCCAUACUUAUUUGUACCAUUUUUUGAGCAAGCAUGUGGUUAGAGCGUAGAAAGCCGUAUUUGUUACCGACGCCUUUCGUGUUUGGCUCACUCCUCCUUCAUACCGACCACGUGGUGCCAUUAUCUAAUUUCUUCUCAACUUUGAUUAUAAGUUUGACGCGGCCAGAAAUAUCAUUCUGUGUGAAAUGUCCUGCUCUUUUUUCCCCAUAAUGUUGUAGUUUUCUGAACCACAGUGUCAACAUAACUGGUAAGCAGGUAAUCCAGAGAGUUUGCGUACGGACCGCAUAGACUGAGGGCCUAGAGAAAAAAACAUCAUGGCGUCAGUCCGCAUAUCUACCUAAAGUCAGGGGGAGUGAAGCUGCUGGCAACGAGUAAAAAUGAUAGGAAGGGACUGAAUGCGAAUUGGCUUUUUCAGCGCACUCAAAUGGUAACAUUUAGGUUUGAGUUGCACAUUGUCCCUUUUAAAAAGCCAGGUUAAAGAAAAUAAAUGCAUUAAUACUUAAAGUUUAUACAGUCAAAUGUGCAAAGGAGGAGGAGACGGCCUGGGAAACAUAGCGAGCUGUUCUGACCCGACUGACAGCUAUUGGUUCUGCUGAACAGAUGGACUCACUGGAUGAGCUCGGCCUUCCAGCCUCCACUGGAGAAAAACUAGAAGUCCUAAGCCAAAAACUGGAGUGAGGAGUUGUUCAGAAAUAAAUACUGAAUCUCUGAGAGACCUGAUCUGCUGUCUGCAACAUUUUAUCCAAAAUCCUCUCAAACCACCAAGCAGAGCAGCAGAGCGAACGGGGUGGAAAGAGAAGUCUCUCCGCUCACCAGCACUUGGUGACUGAAAUAUGUAGUAAGUAUAAACUCAUGUACCUGUCAGUCUAAAAUUGUGUAAUGUUGUGUAAUGUUGUACAUUAUCCUAUAGGUGGACUUUGUCGUGCGCAUUUCCCUGUAGCCAAUGAAACAUUUUGUUUCACAAAACCAUGAAACAUUUCUUUAUAAUACACGUCUCAGUUUAAAAUAUAUAUUUUGUCUGUUUUUCAGGACUAAUGGUCAGAUUCAGAACACCAAAACAGUUUUAAGAAGGCUCAAGGUUGUUUGGCUUGUUUGUUUUGUUGUGUUUUUUUUUAAAGUAGUUUAUGCAUGUGUCAAUGCUCAUUAAAUCAGUUCUGGUGUAAAUAUCUCUUUUAAAAUCAUAUUUUUAAGCAGUGGUUGGUUCUUAAAUGCUGACUUUGCCUUGAUUUAUUAUUAUUGUGAAUUUCUUUUCUGAAAAGCUAUUGUAUUAAAAUGUAUACUGUGUUGUUUUACUUUGUUCUAAGGAAGGUUUCAUUAAUGUCUUUGGUACACGUGUAUAUGUAUGAAUAAAUGUGAUUCUUAUUUAUCA